rnacentral:rRNA from 1 species
CUUUUGUAUAAUGGGUCAGCGACUUAUAUUCUGUAGCAAGGUUAACCGAAUAGGGGAGCCGGAGGGAAACCGAGUCUUAAUUGGGCGUUAAGUUGCAGGGUAUAGACCCGAAACCCGGUGAUCUAGCCAUGGGCAGGUUGAAGGUUGGGUAACACUAACUGGAGGACCGAACCGACUAAUGUUGAAAAAUUAGCGGAUGACCUGUGGCUGGGGGUGAAAGGCCAAUCAAACCGGGAGAUAGCUGGUUCUCCCCGAAAGCUAUUUAGGUAGCGCCUCGUGAACUCAUCUCCGGGGGUAGAGCACUGUUUCGGCUAGGGGGCCAUCCCGGCUUACCAACCCGAUGCAAACUGCGAAUACCGGAGAAUGUUAUCACGGGAGACACACGGCGGGUGCUAACGUCCGUCGUGAAGAGGGAAACAACCCAGACCGCCAGCUAAGGUCCCAAAGUCAUGGUUAAGUGGGAAACGAUGUGGGAAGGCCCAGACAGCCAGGAUGUUGGCUUAGAAGCAGCCAUCAUUUAAAGAAAGCGUAAUAGCUCACUGGUCGAGUCGGCCUGCGCGGAAGAUGUAACGGGGCUAAACCAUGCACCGAAGCUGCGGCAGCGAACGUAUCACCCAAGACAACUUUACGGAGUUGACGAUUGACGGAGCGAAGCGACGUCAAAGCGUUCAUUAAAGUCGAGUUGGCUUAGGGAUACGUUCGUUGGGUAGGGGAGCGUUCUGUAAGCCUGCGAAGGUGGCCUGUGAGGGUUGCUGGAGGUAUCAGAAGUGCGAAUGCUGACAUAAGUAACGAUAAAGCGGGUGAAAAGCCCGCUCGCCGGAAGACCAAGGGUUCCUGUCCAACGUUAAUCGGGGCAGGGUGAGUCGACCCCUAAGGCGAGGCCGAAAGGCGUAGUCGAUGGGAAACGGGUUAAUAUUCCCGUACUUGGUGUUACUGCGAAGGGGGGACGGAGAAGGCUAUGUUGGCCGGGCGACGGUUGUCCCGGUUUAAGCGUGUAGGUGUGUGUUCCAGGUAAAUCCGGUUCACUUUAACACUGAGGCGUGACGACGAGGCACUACGGUGCUGAAGCAACAAAUGCCCUGCUUCCAGGAAAAGCCUCUAAGCAUCAGGUAACACGAAAUCGUACCCCAAACCGACACAGGUGGUCAGGUAGAGAAUACCAAGGCGCUUGAGAGAACUCGGGUGAAGGAACUAGGCAAAAUGGUGCCGUAACUUCGGGAGAAGGCACGCUGACACGUAGGUGAAGUGAUUUACUCAUGGAGCUGAAGUCAGUCGAAGAUACCAGCUGGCUGCAACUGUUUAUUAAAAACACAGCACUGUGCAAACACGAAAGUGGACGUAUACGGUGUGACGCCUGCCCGGUGCCGGAAGGUUAAUUGAUGGGGUCAGCGCAAGCGAAGCUCCUGAUCGAAGCCCCGGUAAACGGCGGCCGUAACUAUAACGGUCCUAAGGUAGCGAAAUUCCUUGUCGGGUAAGUUCCGACCUGCACGAAUGGCGUAAUGAUGGCCAGGCUGUCUCCACCCGAGACUCAGUGAAAUUGAACUCGCUGUGAAGAUGCAGUGUACCCGCGGCAAGACGGAAAGACCCCGUGAACCUUUACUAUAGCUUGACACUGAACAUUGAGCCUUGAUGUGUAGGAUAGGUGGGAGGCUUUGAAGUGUGGACGCCAGUCUGCAUGGAGCCGACCUUGAAAUACCACCCUUUAAUGUUUGAUGUUCUAACGUGGACCCGUAAUCCGGGUUGCGGACAGUGUCUGGUGGGUAGUUUGACUGGGGCGGUCUCCUCCUAAAGAGUAACGGAGGAGCACGAAGGUUGGCUAAUCCUGGUCGGACAUCAGGAGGUUAGUGCAAUGGCAUAAGCCAGCUUGACUGCGAGCGUGACGGCGCGAGCAGGUGCGAAAGCAGGUCAUAGUGAUCCGGUGGUUCUGAAUGGAAGGGCCAUCGCUCAACGGAUAAAAGGUACUCCGGGGAUAACAGGCUGAUACCGCCCAAGAGUUCAUAUCGACGGCGGUGUUUGGCACCUCGAUGUCGGCUCAUCACAUCCUGGGGCUGAAGUAGGUCCCAAGGGUAUGGCUGUUCGCCAUUUAAAGUGGUACGCGAGCUGGGUUUAGAACGUCGUGAGACAGUUCGGUCCCUAUCUGCCGUGGGCGCUGGAGAACUGAGGGGGGCUGCUCCUAGUACGAGAGGACCGGAGUGGACGCAUCACUGGUGUUCGGGUUGUCAUGCCAAUGGCACUGCCCGGUAGCUAAAUGCGGAAGAGAUAAGUGCUGAAAGCAUCUAAGCACGAAACUUGCCCCGA